rnacentral:lncRNA from 1 species
GGGUUCCCGAAGCGCUGCAACUACUUCAGAGAAAUGUGACAGAAGAAGUUGACGGAACACUCUCGAGUCAGUCACCCAAUAGGAAACAAACACACUCUCUCACAGUACCCAAGACAUGGAAGCAACCUAAAGUGUCCAUCGACAGAGGAAUGGAUAAAGAAGAUGUGGUACAUACAUAUGAUGGAUUAUUAAUCAGCCAUAAAAACAAAUGGAAUUUUGCCUUUGUCAGCAACAUGGAUGCACCUGAGGGGUAUUACGCUAAGUGCCUGAGUCCUCAGGUCCCAGCCUGGGCAGCCACACCUGUGCUCAGAAACUACCUUGGACCAUGGGGAUGAGGCUGACCUUUCUGCUCGGGGGUAAGGCGGCUCCAGCUGUUGGGAGGCUCCCCUGAGGGGGCAGCUCAGGACUUGGGUGGGCAGAGCUCUAAUCCUGGACUUCCUGCCUUUAAGGAUGGCCUCUUAUGGAUGUUGCAUGCUCCCCCCCCCGCCCCAUUUUGGGACAAACACCUCACAGGCACCUGUCCCUGCACUGCACUGAGGGUGAGCCCCUCCCUGCUUUCAGAACCCACGAGCAUUGAGCCAUCACACGAGGAUGGAACCCUCAUUAUAUUCAUUCAGCUCACAUUCCCCGAGAACCAAACUUCAGUUGCAGCUGUUAAGUAACUUCCAUCUUGGUGUUGAAUGACAAGGUUCAGGAAAAAUAUCUCUAGGGUAUACUUGCGGGGGGAAGGACCUCCGUCGACAUCCUCAGGGUGCACUAUUUCCCAAGGGGCUCUGGGUACUGAGCACAUGUUCUGGAACUUCCAGUGUUUCAGCUGUUCUGCAGGCUGAGAAUCAUUUGGUGGAAACCCCUGUCUUAUUUCCAUAUCAGGUCUACAACCUGUGUAAAGGAGGAAUUCUCCAGUGGUGCAGUGGGUUAAGGAUUGGGCAUUGUCACUGUUGUGGCCUGGAUUCAAUCCCUGGCCAAAAAAAUCCCAAAAAAUCUGUGUAAAGGAAUCAGCUCCAGAACCUGGUGGUAGCAAUGGUUUUUAAUUAGCUUAUAAUUGUGUAAGGACUUCCGAUGACUUUAUUCAGUGUACAAUUUAGUGAGUUCCCUGGUGGCCUAUUGGUUAGGACGUGGUGCUUUUCACCUCUGUGCCAAAAAAAGAAAAAAGAAAAAAA